rnacentral:rRNA from 1 species
UGCAAGUCGAACGAACUCUGGUAUUGAUUGGUGCUUGCAUCAUGAUUUACAUUUGAGUGAGUGGCGAACUGGUGAGUAACACGUGGGAAACCUGCCCAGAAGCGGGGGAUAACACCUGGAAACAGAUGCUAAUACCGCAUAACAACUUGGACCGCAUGGUCCGAGCUUGAAAGAUGGCUUCGGCUAUCACUUUUGGAUGGUCCCGCGGCGUAUUAGCUAGAUGGUGGGGUAACGGCUCACCAUGGCAAUGAUACGUAGCCGACCUGAGAGGGUAAUCGGCCACAUUGGGACUGAGACACGGCCCAAACUCCUACGGGAGGCAGCAGUAGGGAAUCUUCCACAAUGGACGAAAGUCUGAUGGAGCAACGCCGCGUGAGUGAAGAAGGGUUUCGGCUCGUAAAACUCUGUUGUUAAAGAAGAACAUAUCUGAGAGUAACUGUUCAGGUAUUGACGGUAUUUAACCAGAAAGCCACGGCUAACUACGUGCCAGCAGCCGCGGUAAUACGUAGGUGGCAAGCGUUGUCCGGAUUUAUUGGGCGUAAAGCGAGCGCAGGCGGUUUUUUAAGUCUGAUGUGAAAGCCUUCGGCUCAACCGAAGAAGUGCAUCGGAAACUGGGAAACUUGAGUGCAGAAGAGGACAGUGGAACUCCAUGUGUAGCGGUGAAAUGCGUAGAUAUAUGGAAGAACACCAGUGGCGAAGGCGGCUGUCUGGUCUGUAACUGACGCUGAGGCUCGAA